rnacentral:tRNA from 1 species
GGCCCCGUCGUCUAGCGGUUAGGAUGCCCGCCUUACGAGCGGGAGGUCCCGGGUUCGAAUCCCGGCGGGGCCACCA